rnacentral:tRNA from 1 species
GCAGUCGUGGCCUACUGGUUAGGGCUUCACGCUUGAAACCGUGGGUUGCUGGUUCGAUCCCCGACCAGUGGG